rnacentral:rRNA from 1 species
UACGGAGGGUGCGAGCGUUGUCCGGAAUCAUUGGGCGUAAAGAGCUCGUAGGCGGUUUGUUGCGUCGGCUGUGAAAUCCCCGAGGCUCAACCUCGGGUCUGCAGUCGAUACGAGCAAACUAGAGUGUUGCAGGGGAGACUGGAAUUCCUGGUGUAGCGGUGAAAUGCGCAGAUAUCAGGAGGAACACCGGUGGCGAAGGCGGCACUCUGGGCCGAUACUGACACUGAGGAGCGAAAGCGUGGGGAGCGAACAGG